AUUGAACGCUGGCGGCAUGCCUUACACAUGCAAGUCGAACGGCAGCACGGGGGCAACCCUGGUGGCGAGUGGCGAACGGGUGAGUAAAGCAUCGGAACGUGCCCAAUAGUGGGGGAUAGCCCGGCGAAAGCCGGAUUAAUACCGCAUACGACCUGAGGGUGAAAGCGGGGGAUCGCAAGACCUCGCGCUACUGGAGCGGCCGAUGUCAGAUUAGGUAGUUGGUGGGGUAAAGGCCUACCAAGCCUGCGAUCUGUAGCUGGUCUGAGAGGACGACCAGCCACACUGGGACUGAGACACGGCCCAGACUCCUACGGGAGGCAGCAGUGGGGAAUUUUGGACAAUGGGCGCAAGCCUGAUCCAGCCAUGCCGCGUGCGGGAAGAAGGCCUCGG
rnacentral:rRNA from 1 species